AAACUUCAGUGUAAACAGGAAGAUUGUGCGAGCGGUGGCAGCGGAGCUAAUACGCUAAAAUUUAACUGAACUGUUUAAUAUACCUUAAUUACCACGUAACGUUACUGCAUUUCUUUUUAUUAUUAAGAAGUGCGUUAUUAUGGCGGAGUCAAACGGGAUGACAGAUGCUCAGUUAAUUCAGCAGCUGGCUCUGCUCGGCUGGCUGAAGAGCGACAGUGCCCAGUGUAAGGAUUUUCUCACUGCGGUCACCGGGCUGCAGGUCGGCCGGGAGCUGCUGGACAGACUCUCUGGGCAAAGCAGAAUAGAUGCUUACAGGAUGGAGUGCAUUCAGAGUGUUGCAGACUAUGUGAAGAAAAAUCCCAGGGCUUCCCAGCGAGAGCUCAACGCUGAGGUUGAGAAGAACGUGCUGCUGUUUGCGUCUAGAGUGCAGGCUCUCUAAAACACUCAGUGAACACGUCACCACAGCACUGACCUUCACUCUUCUUUACUGACCAGACUAUAUCGCUGCUUUUCUUCUUUCUACCUUUUUCUUUUUGUAUAUUGAUACAUGUAUCUGUUGAGCUUUAUCUAAUUUGUUUACUAUGCAAUUUUUAUUUUAUUUUAUUCAAAAUAGUCAUAAACAGAUAUUUUAUGGGCAACAUUUUUUAAUGGUGUAUGUAUUGAAUUUACUCUUAAUGAGAUUUUUUAUUUUAUUUUACAGAUUGUACAUUAAGGACUGUAACAAUACAGAGAUAAAGUGCUGCAGCUGUGAUGCUGUUUGAAGUUUUCCUGUUUUUUUUGUCUGUGGUAAACAACUUGAUGAUGCUUUGAUGUUUUGUUGAACAACGUAAACUGCGCACCUCAAAGAUUCUUAUGUUGUCAAUUUUAUGUUUAUUCAAAAUUAA